GACGAACGCUGGCGGCGUGCUUAACACAUGCAAGUCGAACGGAAAGGCCUGCUUUCCCUUGUGGAUUGCGGGUACUCGAGUGGCGAACGGGUGAGUAACACGUGAGUGAUCUGCCCCCAACUUGGGUAUAAGCCUGGGAAACUGGGUCUAAUUCCCGAUAGGACUGCAGGGUGGUGCCUGUGGUGGAGAACGAUUUUCUAGUGGUUGGGGAUGAGCUCGCGGCCUAUCAGCUUGUUGGUGGGGUAAUGGCCUACCGAGGCGGCGACGGGUAGCCGGCCUGAGAGGGUGGACGGCCACAUUGGGACUGAGAUACGGCCCAGACUCCUACGGGAGGCAGCAGUGGGGAAUAUUGCACAAUGGGCGGAAGCCUGAUGCAGCGACGCCGCGUGGGGGAUGACGGCCUUCGGGUUGUAAACUCCUUUCGACCGCGAGGAAGCCACCUGGUUGGAAGGGUGGUGACGGUAGUGGUAGAAGAAGCACCGGCUAACUACGU
rnacentral:rRNA from 1 species